UACGUAGGGGGCAAGCGUUGUCCGGAUUUACUGGGCGUAAAGGGCGCGUAGGCGGCGUGACAAGUCACUUGUGAAAUCUCCGGGCUUAACCCGGAACUGCCAAGUGAUACUGUCGUGCUAGAGUGCGGAAGGGGCAAUCGGAAUUCUCGGUGUAGCGGUGAAAUGCGUAGAUAUCGAGAGGAACACCUGAGGUGAAGACGGGUUGCUGGGCCGACACUGACGCUGAGUGCGCGAAAGCCAGGGGAGCAAACGGG
rnacentral:rRNA from 1 species